rnacentral:rRNA from 1 species
UACAGAGGGUGCAAGCGUUAAUCGGAAUUACUGGGCGUAAAGGGUGCGUAGGUGGUGAAUUAAGUUGGGUGUGAAAGCCCCGGGCUUAACCUGGGAAUUGCAUUCAAUACUGGUUUACUAGAGUCGGGUAGAGGGAGGUGGAAUUUCCGGUGUAGCGGUGAAGUGCGUAGAGAUCGGAAGGAACACCAGUGGCGAAGGCGGCCUCCUGGACCUAGACUGACACUGAGGCACGAAAGCGUGGGUAGCAAACAGG